UAUAUGUGACUGGACGUUGGACUGGAUGACAAGCGGAUGUGACGAUUUUUGGGAGGGGCACUGAAAUCUGGGAGUCUCCCGGGAGGGUUGGCAAGUAUGAGAAUUAGCGGUGAAUGCGGUGUUACAGCGGCACCACCGCUGAAUAUAAUCGGCGGGCCAGCUCUAGUGUUAAUUUGAUAUCGCCUCAAGGGCCAAGUGAAAUUACACGGCGGGCCAAAUUUUGACACCCAUGACCUAGAAGCUCCACAGAGAGCGCCGCUAGACACGCCCCUGCACGCGCUGCGCAGACCGCACCCACGCGUCGCCACAGCCGGAGGCAAUCUGCAAUCAGCGCACCUGGGACUAAUGAAAGGCGAAAGGAUAAAGAGCCUCGCCGCUGACUUCUCCUCAUCGGAACGUAGCCCUGUAAGCAUCACGCCUCUGACUUCCCUCCUGCUCUCUGGUUCUGCUUGUCUUCCUCGUGCCUCGUCCUGAUUGUCCUUAUUGUCUCCUGUCCCCUACAGCCCCUGUGUCUCAGGGACUUCUGGACGCCUCGGACCCCUUUUGCCUCUUCCCCCCUGGACUUGUUGGCUACCACAUCCAACAAACCCUCCGGGGCGCCGGAAGUUGGCUGACCCCGUCAGCGGUCCUGUUCCGUCUCCCUGAAAGCAGACAAGACGAAGAAGAAGAAGAAGCGGCUGGAGGACAGCUGAUGAGUGAGGAGGGAGACGAAGAUCACAUCAACGCUGAGAGUGUCGAUUAGCAGCUCAGACGAGGCACCAAGCAGUGUGGGCGGGAAGCGUUUCCACAGACGCGGAAGGAGAUUUUCACAACAAAGGUCUAAAGCUUAGUGAUGUAUCAGAUUGUAGGUGAGUUUAUUUUGUACCCUUCGCCUUCAUAUUUUACUGUUUGUUGCAUUUUUGUGGCGUUUCACUUGAUUGUACAAUGUGUGGAUGGAAAGGGGGUGUGACGUUUAUAUUUGGUCAAUAUUCAGUGUUUUAUCCUUCGUAGAAAAAUGUAAAAAUUCCAUUAUGUUUUUUAAGGCGGUCUGUCAUGACGUUUUUAGCAUUCAAUCAGACUUUAUUGUGAGGUUUUGUAUUAGUGUUCCUAAAAAUAGAUAUACCGGCCCCCAGUCACAUUUGUUUCUCUAAAUGUGGCCCCCGAGUCAAAAUAAUUGCCCAGUCCUGCUCUAAGCUCGGCACUUUUCCAUGACUCAUGCAUGUUGCUGCCAUUUCAUCCCAAUGUUUACACAUCAUGUAUGGAUGCUGUCAACUUUACAGCAUCCAUACAUGAAACUGAAGCUCUGCUCCUCCAUCCUGUUUAUCUUGUCACUUUGGAGCCGUGCAAUUCUGCUCCACCACAACAGAUUGUCACAGGCAGCGCCAACAGAUUGCGCUUUGAAAAAGAAUGGGACGCCCCCGGCAACAUCUCACACGUCUCUGCGUCUUCGCCCGACAAAAACAACAUCUUUGCAUUAUAAAAAUGCAACAACAUAUCCAUUAUUCAUAGCCCAACCCAC